rnacentral:rRNA from 1 species
UACGUAGGGUGCGAGCGUUAAUCGGAAUUACUGGGCGUAAAGCGUGCGCAGGCGGUUCGUGAUGUCUGAUGUGAAAGCCCCGGGCUCAACCUGGGAAUUGCAUUGGAAACUAGCGGGCUGGAGUGUGGCAGCGGGGGGUGGAAUUCCACGUGUAGCAGUGAAAUGCGUAGAGAUGUGGAGGAACACCGAUGGCGAAGGCAGCCCCCUGGGCUAACACUGACGCUCAUGCACGAAAGCGUGGGGAGCAAACAGG